ACGGAAGGCAGCAGUGGGGGAUAUUGCACAAUGGAGGAAACUCUGAUGCAGCAACGCCGCGUGAGGGAAGACGGUCUUCGGAUUGUAAACCUAAGUUAACAGGGACGAAUAAAAUGACGGUACCUGAAGAGAAAGCUCCGGCUAACUACGUGCCAGCAGCCGCGGUAAUACGUAGGGAGCGAGCGUUGUCCGGAUUUACUGGGUGUAAAGGGUGCGUAGGCGGGUUUGCAAGUCAGGCGUGAAAUCCCACGGCUUAACUGUGGGGCUGCGCUUGAAACUGUAGAUCUUUAGUGAAGUAGAGGCAAGCGGAAUUCCUAGUGUAGCGGUGAAAUGCGUAGAUAUUAGGAGGAACACCAGUGGCGAAGGCGGCUUGCUGGGCUUUAACUGACGCUGAGGCACGAAAGUAUGUGGAGCAAACAGGAUUAGAUACCCUGGUA
rnacentral:rRNA from 1 species